UUUCCGUAGGUGAACCUGCGGAAGGAUCAUUCAUAAUAAAGUGUUUUAUGGCACUUUUUAAAAAUCCAUAUCCACCUUGUGUGCAAUGUUAGAUCUCGUCAAUCUUGGCGAGAUUUUUAUACAUCAACUCAUUCUUUAACUAAUUUGUCUGAAAAAUAUUAUGAAUACUUAAUUCAAAAUACAACUUUCAACAACGGAUCUCUUGGCUCUCGCAUCGACGAAGAACGCAGC
rnacentral:misc_RNA from 1 species